AUUGAACGCUGGCGGCAUGCCUAACACAUGCAAGUCGAACGGCAGCACAGCAGUAGCAAUACUGUGGGUGGCGAGUGGCGGACGGGUGAGGAAUACGUCGGAAUCUGCCCAGUCGUGGGGGAUAACUAGCCGAAAGGUUAGCUAAUACCGCAUACGACCGAGAGGUGAAAGCGGGGGACCGCAAGGCCUCGCGCGAUUGGAUGAGCCGACGUCGGAUUAGCUAGUUGGCGGGGUAAAGGCCCACCAAGGCGACGAUCCGUAGCUGGUCUGAGAGGAUGAUCAGCCACACUGGAACUGAGACACGGUCCAGACUCCUACGGGAGGCAGCAGUGGGGAAUAUUGGACAAUGGGCGCAAGCCUGAUCCAGCAAUGCCGCGUGUGUGAAGAAGGCCUCGGGUUGUAAGCGACUUUAUC
rnacentral:rRNA from 1 species